AAAAUCAAUCACAUAAUUGGAAGUAAAACACUCCUCAACAAAUCCAGAAGAACUGAAAUUAUGACAAAUAGUCUCUCAGAAAGUAGCGCAAUCAAAUUAGAACUCAAGACUAAGAAACCACACAACUACACAGAUAUUGAAAAACCUCCUCCUGAAUGACUCCUGGGUAAAUAAUGAAAUUAAGGCAGAAAUCAGAAAGUUCUUUGAAACUAGUGAGAACAAAGAGAAAAUGUACCAAAUCUCUGGGACACAGCUAAAGUA
rnacentral:lncRNA from 1 species